rnacentral:snRNA from 1 species
GGAUGUGAGGCGAUCUGGCUGCCACCUCUGUCACCCCUUUCAUCGCCAGCGUUCAUUCAGCUGAUCUGGCUGGCUAGGCGGGCGUCCCCUUCCUCCCUCACCGCUCCAUCUGUGUCCCUCCCGAAGCUGCACGCUCUGUCGAAGAGGACAACCUUCCCCGAUAGAGGAGGACCGUUCUUUGGUCGAGGGUAUACGAGUAGCUGUGCUCCUGCUAGAACCUCCAGACAAGCUCUCAAGGUCCAUUUAUAGGAGAACGUAGGGUAGUCAAGCUUCCGAGACUCCAGACACAUCCAAAUGAGGCGCUGCACGUGGCAGUCUGCCUUU